CAUUAAAAAAACACCGGUUCUCACAUGAUCAGUCAAGUUAAGCAACGUCGAGCCUGGUCUGUACCUAGAUGGGUGUCAGCUUCGGAAUAUCAGGUGUUGUAAU